UACGUAGGGGGCGAGCGUUACCCGGAAUCACUGGGCGUAAAGGGAGCGUAGGUGGCCUGACAUGUCGACUGUGAAAACCCGGAGCUCAACUCCGGACUUGCAGUUGAAACUGCCAGGCUUGAGGACGGUAGAGGAAGACGGAACUGCCAGUGUAGGGGUAAAAUCCUUAGAUAUUGGCAGGAACGCCGGUGACGAAGGUGGUUUUCUGGGCCGGUUCUGACACUGAUGCUCGAAAGCCAGGGGAGCGAACGGGAUUAGAUACCCGCGUAGUCCCUGAGCGGGCU
rnacentral:rRNA from 1 species